GACGAACGCUGGCGGCGUGCCUAAUACAUGCAAGUAGAACGCACAGUUUAUACCGUAGCUUGCUACACCAUACACUGUGAGUUGCGAACGGGUGAGUAACGCGUAGGUAACCUGCCUGGUAGCGGGGGAUAACUAUUGGAAACGAUAGCUAAUACCGCAUAAUAUUGAUUAUUGCAUGAUAAUUGAUUGAAAGAUGCUAUUGCAUCACUACCAGAUGGACCCGCGUUGUAUUAGCUAGUAGGUGAGGUAACGGCUCACCUAGGCGACGAUACAUAGCCGACCUGAGAGGGUGAUCGGCCACACUGGGACUGAGACACGGCCCAGACUCCUACGGGAGGCAGCAGUAGGGAAUCUUCGGCAAUGGACGAAAGUCUGACCGAGCAACGCCGCGUGAGUGAAGAAGGGUGUCGGAUCGUAAAGCUCGGUUGUAAGAGAAGAGCGGGUGUGAGAGUGGAAAGUUCACACUGUGACGGUAUCUUACCAGAAAGGGACGGCUAACUACGUG
rnacentral:rRNA from 1 species